ensembl:lncRNA
CAGGGAAGCCUGGCAUGCUGUGUAGUCCAUGGGGUCGCAGAGUGGACAGGACCAAGCGACUGAACUGAACUGAUGGUACUAGCGCGGCUUGGCUGGUUGCACAGGAGGAGCCCAGGAGGAGAAAGAAGACCAAGGACAAGAAGGUGUUGGAUACAGCUGAGAAGAUCUCAGAGAAGACACUCGAGAUCAGCUGGGGAAACAAAGAUGAAUAAGGUGAAAAGCUGGAGGCAGACACGGAAACAAACAAUGAGGAGGCCAUGUCAUGAGGAUGCUCAAGGGGACUUUGGACAGGGGUGCUGAGGAAUGGAGCCUGACCCUGCAGGGGAGGGAAGGUUCAGCAUGCA